rnacentral:siRNA from 1 species
UUUGGAAUUUUCGUGUUGGUUC